rfam:Myotis lucifugus cont2.1778, whole genome shotgun sequence.
AAUGUAGAGUUAAGGAAGCAAAGAGAAAAGAAGUAAAAAAAAAAAAAAGUUUUAACCCGAGGGCACAAGGGCACACCAGACUUGCAGAAAAAGCAAACCCCGGAGGAAGCUGAGUCAUGGCUGCUCAAGAGCCAGCCUGCCAUGUGCAAUGUUCCUCUGAUAGUUCCCGGGCACUGUUGCCACGGCGAUAGUGACUGUCCGUGUCAUUAUCUAUCCACCAACAGUGAGAGAAGCUUUGCAGUCGAGAUAUUGUUUAACAGAUGGAGUGGUUUCUGUUGGACACUAAGUACUGCUACAAAG